rnacentral:rRNA from 1 species
GACGUAGGGUGCGAGCGUUGUCCGGAUUUAUUGGGCGUAAAGAGCUCGUAGGCGGCUCGUCGCGUCAGCUGUGAAAACCCGCGGCUUAACCGUGGGCUUGCAGCUGAUACGGGCGGGCUAGAGUUCGGUAGGGGAGACUGGAAUUCCUGGUGUAGCGGUGAAAUGCGCAGAUAUCAGGAGGAACACCGGUGGCGAAGGCGGGUCUCUGGGCCGAUACUGACGCUGAGGAGCGAAAGCGUGGGGAGCGGACAGG